rnacentral:rRNA from 1 species
AUUGAACGCUGGCGGAAUGCUUUACACAUGCAAGUCGAACGGCAGCACAGGUGCUUGCACCUGGUGGCGAGUGGCGAACGGGUGAGUAGUACAUCGGAACGUACCCAGUCGUGGGGGAUAACGUAGCGAAAGUUACGCUAAUACCGCAUACGUCCUGAGGGAGAAAGCGGGGGACCGUAAGGCCUCGCGCGAUUGGAGCGGCCGAUGGCGGAUUAGCUAGUUGGUGGGGUAAAGGCCUACCAAGGCGACGAUCCGUAGCGGGUCUGAGAGGACGGCCCGCCACACUGGAACUGAGACACGGUCCAGACGCCUACGGGAGGCAGCAGUGGGGAAUUUUGGACAAUGGGCGAAAGCCUGAUCCAGCCAUUCCGCGUGAGUGAAGAAGGCCUUCGGGUUGUAAAGCUCUUUCGGCAGGGAAGAAACGGCUUGGGAUAAUACCCCGGGCUAAUGACGGUACCUGAAGAAGAAGCACCGGCUAACUACGUGCCAGCAGCCGCGGUAA